CUCUCAGACUACCGCCCCAUCAUCCUAAUCCACCUGAUCGCGAAGCUCAUUACAAAAGUCCUCUCCCUGCGCCUCGCUCCUCGCCUGGGCCAGCUCGUCUCCACCAACCAAAGUGCAUUCAUCGCCGGGCGGUGUGUGCACGACAAUUUUAUG
rnacentral:rRNA from 1 species